rnacentral:rRNA from 1 species
ACAUCACGAGUUUGAUCCUGGCUCAGAGCGAACGCUGGCGGCAGGCCUAACACAUGCAAGUCGAGCGGCCGUAGCAAUACGGCAGCGGCAGACGGGAGAGUAACACGUGGGAACGCGCCCUUCGGUUCGGGAUAACCCAGGGAAACUUGGGCUAAUACCGGAUACGCCCUUACGGGGAAAGAUUUAUUGCCGAAGGAACGGCCCGCGGCCGAUUAGCUAGUUGGUGAGGUAACGGCUCACCAAGGCGACGAUCGGUAGCCGGACUGAGAGGUUGACCGGCCACAUUGGGACUGAGACACGGCCCAGACUCCUACGGGAGGCAGCAGUGGGGAAUAUUGGGCAAUGGGCGAAAGCCUGACCCAGCGACGCCGCGUGAGGGAAGAAGGUCUUCGGAUUGUAAACCUCUGUUGAUAGGGAAGAAGAAAGUGACGGUACCUAUCGAGGAAGUCACGGCUAACUACGUG